rnacentral:rRNA from 1 species
CGCCAGACUCCUACGUGAGGCAGCAGUGGGGAAUAUUGCACAAUGGGGGAAACCCUGAUGCAGCGACGCCGCGUGAGCGAUGAAGUAUUUCGGUAUGUAAAGCUCUAUCAGCAGGGAAGAAAAUGACGGUACCUGACUAAGAAGCCCCGGCUAACUACGUGCCAGCAGCCGCGGUAAUACGUAGGGGGCAAGCGUUAUCCGGAUUUACUGGGUGUAAAGGGGGCGCAGACGGCAGCGCAAGCCAGGAGUGAAAGCCCGGGGCCCAACCCCGGGACUGCUCUUGGAACUGCGCGGCUGGAGUGCAGGAGGGGCAGGCGGAAUUCCUGGUGUAGCGGUGAAAUGCGUAGAUAUCAGGAGGAACACCGGUGGCGAAGGCGGCCUGCUGGACUGCGACUGACGUUGAGGCCCGAAAGCGUGGGGAGCAAACAGGAUUAGAUACCCGUGUA